UACGUAGGGUGCAAGCGUUAAUCGGAAUUACUGGGCGUAAAGCGUGCGCAGGCGGUUAUGUAAGACAGGUGUGAAAUCCCCGGGCUUAACCUGGGAACUGCAUUUUGUGACUGCAUAGCUAGAGUACGGUAGAGGGGGAUGGAAUUCCGCGUGUAGCAGUGAAAUGCGUAGAUAUGCGGAGGAACACCGAUGGCGAAGGCAAUCCCCCUGGACCUGUACUGACGCUCAUGCACGAAAGCGUGGGGGAGCAAACAGG
rnacentral:rRNA from 1 species